rnacentral:rRNA from 1 species
UGGGGAAUAUUGCACAAUGGGGGAAACCCUGAUGCAGCGACGCCGCGUGAACGAAGAAGGUAUUCGUAUCGUAAAGUUCUGUCCUAUGGGAAGAUAAGUACAGUACCAUAGAAGAAAGCUCCGGCUAAAUACGUGCCAGCAGCCGCGGUGAUACGUAUGGAGCGAGCGUUGUGCGGAAUUAUUGUGCGUAAAGGGUAUGCAGGCGGUUUAAUAAGUCGAAUGUUAAAGAUCGGGGCUAAACCCCGUAAAGCAUUGGAAACUGAUCAACUUGAGUAGUGGGGGGGAAAGUGGAAUUACUAGUGUAGUGGUGAAAUACGUAGAUAUUAGGAGGAAUACGAGUAGCGAAGGCGACGUUCUGGACACAAACUGACGCUGAGGUACGAAAGCGUGGGGAGCAAACAGG